rnacentral:rRNA from 1 species
GUGGGGAAUAUUGGACAAUGGGCGCAAGCCUGAUCCAGCCAUGCCGCGUGAGUGAUGAAGGCCCUAGGGUUGUAAAGCUCUUUCAACGGUGAAGAUAAUGACGGUAACCGUAGAAGAAGCCCCGGCUAACUUCGUGCCAGCAGCCGCGGUAAUACGAAGGGGGCUAGCGUUGUUCGGAAUUACUGGGCGUAAAGCGCACGUAGGCGGAUCGAUCAGUUAGGGGUGAAAUCCCAGGGCUCAACCCUGGAACUGCCUCUAAUACUGUCGAUCUCGAGUUCGAGAGAGGUGAGUGGAAUUCCGAGUGUAGAGGUGAAAUUCGUAGAUAUUCGGAGGAACACCAGUGGCGAAGGCGGCUCACUGGCUCGAUACUGACGCUGAGGUGCGAAAGCGUGGGGAGCAAACAGGA